ACUCUUGUCCCAACGCUCAGUAACCCUGUGACACGCUCACGGGCUGUCAUCAUCAACAUACUUAAUGAUCCUGCCCCAACUGCGCAGGCCACAAAUCACUCUGCGGAGACGCUGUCUGAAAGGCUGCCCAAGGUGUCUUCAUUCCUCGACUUGAGACAGGGGAGGAAGACUGGGGCUCAGACAUCUCCAGAGCAAGAGUCAGUUUCCUGCCUACCCAUACUAGAGCAGAGUCUACCAGUCUACAAGUUCUAUCCAUGUAUCCAGAACUCCUAAUUCUUAACUCCUUAUUCUUAAAUAUCAAUAGACAAUCAAAGUUUAAAAGCCUUGAAAACAUCACCCUGAAGAAAUAGAAAUAAUUCAAGAAUAGAAGAGAAGUUAAAAAUAAAAUUCAACAAUAUCUUCAGAGUAAAGUGACCAUGUAAUUAAUUUAUUAUCUAACCUGGAACAAUUUUGAGAAUGAUAUGGGGAUCUAUUAAUAAUUAUGCCAGGACAGCAAUAUAAACCAUGACUGUCCCCUACAAAUCAAGAUAUAUGAUCACCCUACAUCAGAAAGAUUUAAAGGUAUUGUAUUCAUAAAUGAACACAGGAUGCUAACAAAAAGAAACAGAAGAGGUGACAUUGCAGCUGAUAUCACAGAAAUGCAAAAGGAACAUAAAAGAUUACUAUGAACAACUAUACACCAACAUAUUGAAUUACCUAGGAGAAAUGGAUAAAUUCCUACAAAUAUAUAACCUACCAAGACUGAGUCAAAAAGAAAUAGAAAAUUUGAAAAGACCAAUAAAAAGUAAGGAGAUUAAAUCAGUAAUAAAAUUCUCCCAUCAAAGAAAAGCCCAGGUUGGGCAUGGGGCACACACCUGUAAUCCAAGCUACUCAGGAGACUGAGGGAGGAUAAUCACUUGAGUCCAGAAAUUCAAAAGCAACUCAGACAUCAUGGCAAGACCCAACCUCAAAUUUUAAAAAAGGAAAAGAAAAUGAGAGAAAAGCCCAAGACCUCAUUGGCUUUACUGAUUGGCUUUCCAAACAUUUAGAGAACUAAUAACAAUCCUUCUCAAACUCUUCCAGAAAACUCGAAGAAGAGAUAAUACUUCCAACCUCAUUUUAUGAGGCCAUCCUUAUCCCAAUACAAAAGCCAGACUAGGACAUUACAAGAAAAGAAAAUUACAGACCAAUAUUCCUGAUGAGCACAGGUGCAAAAAUCCUCAACAAAAUACUAGCAAACAAAAUUCAACAGCACAUCAAAAAGAUCAUUCACCAUAAUCCAGUGGGAUUUAUUUCAAGGAUGCAAGGAUGGUUCAAUAUACACAAAUCUAUAAAUGUGAUAUACCACAUUAGCAAAAUGAAGGAUAAAAACUGUAUGAUCAUCUCAAUAGAUGCAGAAAAAACAUUUGACAAAAUUAAACACCCAUUCAUAAUAAAAAAAAAACUCAAUAAAUUAGGUAUAUAAGGAAUGUACCUCAACACAAUAAAAAGCCAUAUAUGACAAACCCAUAGCUAAAAUGAUACUUAAUAAUGAAAAGUUGAAAUCUUUUAUUCUAAGAUUAGGAACCAGACAUGGAGGCCCACUCUUGUCACUUCUAUUCAACAUAAUGUUAAAAGUCCCAGCCAGAGCAAUUUAGGCAAGAAAAAGAAAGGCAUACAAAUUGGAAAGGAAAAAAUUAAAUUGUCCCUGUUUUCAGAAGGCAUGAUCUUAUAUAUACAAAACCCUAAAGACUCUGCAAAAACCCUGUUAGAAAUGAAUUCAAAGUUGCAGGAUACAAGAUCAACAUAAAAUCAGUAGUAUUUUAUACACUAACAACAAAUUAUCCAAAAGAGAAAUCAAGAAAAGAAUCCCAUUUACAAUUGCUACAAAAAACAAAUGUAGAAAUAAACUUGACCAAGGAAGUAAAAGACCUGUACACUAAAGACUAGAAAAUUGAUGAAAGAAAUUAAAGAAGACACAAAUAAAUGGCAAGAUAUCCUAUGUUCAUCAAUUGGAAUAAUUAAUAUUGUUAAAAUGUCCAUAAUACCCAAAGUGAUCUACAAAUUCAAUGUAAUCCCUAUCAAAAUUCCAAUGACUUUUUUCACAGAAAUGAGUAAAAAUUCUAAAGUCCUAUGACCCCCAAAUAGCCAAAGCAAUCUUGAGCAAAAAGAACAAAGCUGGAAAUAACACACUACCUGACUUCAAAAUAUAUUACAAAGCUAUAGUAACCAAAACUGUUUGGUACUAGCAAAAAGCAGACACAUAGAGCAAUUGAACGGAAUAGAGAGCCUAGAAAUAAAUCUACACAUUUGCAGUCAAUUGAUUUUCAACAAAAGUACCAAGAAUACACAAUAGGGUAAGGAUAGUCUCUUCGAAAAAUAGUGUUCGGACAAUUGGAUAUUCUCAUGCAGAGGAAUAAGAUUAGAGUUUUAUUCACACCAUAUACAAAAACCAACUCAAAAUGUAUUAAAGGCUUAAAUGUAUGACCUGAAACUAUAAAAUCUUAGGAAAAAAAUAUAGGAUAAAAGCUUCAUGACAUAAAUAUUAUCCCAAAAGCAAAGGCAACAAAACUGAAAAUAGACAAAUAAGAUUACAUCAAACUAAAAAGCUUCUGCACAGCCAAGUAAACAAUCAACAGAGUGAAGAGACAAUCUAUGGAUUGGGAGAAAAUAUUUACAAAUCAUACACCUGAUAAUGAGUUAAUAUCCAAAAUAUACAAAGAACUAAAAUAAUUCAAUAACAAGAAAGCAAAUAACUUGAUUUUUUAAAAAUGGACUUGCACAGACAUUUCUCAGAAGAAUAGAUACAAAUGGCCAACAGGUAUAUGAAAAAAUGCUCAACAUUACUAAUCAUCAGGUAAAUGCAAAUUAAAACCACAAUGAGAUACCACUUCACACCUGUUAAAAUGGCCAUUAUCAAAAACACAAAAGAUGGCCAGGCACAGUGGCUCAUGCCUGUAAUCCCAGCACUUUGGGAGGACGAGACAGAUGGAUCACCUGAGGCCAGGAGUUCAAGACCAGCCUGGCCAAUGUGGUAAAACCCUGUCUCUAUGAAAAAUACAAAAACUAGCCGGAUGUGGUGGUGGGUGCCUGUAAUCCCAGCUGCUCAGGAGGCUGAGGCAGAAGAAUCACCUGAAUCUGGGAGAUGGAGUUUGCAGUGAGCCGAGGUUGUGCCAUGCACUCCAGCCUGGGUGACAGGGUGAGACUCCAUCUCAAAACAAACAAACAAACAAAACAAACAAACAAAAACCCACAAAAGGUAAGUGCUGGCAAGGGUGUGGAGAAAAAAGGAUCCCUUGCACACUGUUGGUGGGAAUGUAAAUUAGUACAACCACUACAGAAAACAGUAUGGAGGUUCUUCAAAACAUUAAAAAUAGAACUACCAUAUGAUCCAACAAUCUCACUACUGGGUAUACAUCCAAAGGAAAUUAAAUGAGUACGUCAAAGAGAUAUCUACACUCCCAUAUACAUUGCAGCAUUAUUCACAAUAGCCAAAGGAGUUCAAGACCAGCCUGGCCAAGCCAAAAUCCGGAAUCAACCUGAAAUACUAUACAGCCUUAAAGAAGGAGGAAAUCCUGUCAUUUGCAACAACAUGGGUAAACCUGGAGGACAUUAUGUUAAGUGAAAUAAGUCAGAUACAGGAAAAUAAAUACUGCAUGAUCUCACAUGUGGAACCUAAAAACGUUGAACUGGUAGAAGUAAAGAGUGGAAUGGUGGUUACCAGGGGCUGGGGAGGUGGGGAUAGGGGGUGGUGGGGAGAUAUUAUUGAAAGGAUACAAAAUAUCAAUUAGAUAGGAGGAAUAAGUAAAAGAGAUUCAUUGUACAACAUGGUGACUAUAGUUAGUAACAGUGUGUUGUAUUCUUGAAAAUCCCUAAGAGAAUACAUUUUAAAUGUUCUCACCACAAGAAAUAAGUAUGUGAGGUAAUGCAUACAUUAAUUAACUGGAUUUAGCCAUUCCACAAUGUAUACCUAUUUCAAAACAUGUUAUACACAAUAAAUACAUAUAUUUUUACUUGUCAUUAAAAAAUUAAUUAAUUAGUAAGGUGAAAAAGACAACUACAUAAAAAACAUGUAUAUAAUAUUGUCUUAUUUCCAAUCGCAAGGCAAGUGAAAAUUUUCAACAGAGGAAAAAUGACCAGCUAGAGUUUUCAUAUCUGAAAAUGGUGAUAAUAAUCAUUUAGGUUUGUUGUGAGAAAUAAACUAGUUUAUGUAAGUAAAACACAUAAAAUCGUCCCUGGCACACAGAAAUAAAUGUUAUCUAUUAAGUUUAUUAUGACUAACAGCAAGACACAUCAGACCAAAAGAUAUUUCUAUAAUGUGUGCCCUGUUCUCCCCAAAUUUCAUUAGGAUUUUAAAAAGCCUCACACACUACAUUUUCAUCUGUUUUGUUUCUUGGAGACUUGAUGUGUGAUUAUCUGAUUUUGUCUUUUCUACAUUUUCUGACUAUACUGUUUAUAUUCCUGUUCCAUUUCAGUUUUAUGUUGCUGAUGUUUUAGUUUAUAUCUGCCUGUUAGUGCAGGCAAAUUUUUAGGUAUCAUGUUCUCCUCUUAGAGGUAAAAAUAAAAAGAAUGCUAUCCACCAGAAAAAAAUCAAAAUAAUUAGUAAUUUUUCUUAUUGCGAUUAACAGGUUUAUAGUUAUUUGCCUUAGCAUUUAUGCCUAAGAGAAGGACCAUUUAUGAUAUUUUAACACUCAUCUGGUACAGCAUCACCAACCAACCAGAGCAGACAGAACUGCACAGAAUGGGCACUGGCCUUAAAUCCCAGUAAGCCUCUCUCUGUCUUGUUUCUCAGCUGAAGAUCAGUCCUGACAAAAAGAAUUUGAGAAGAGAAAAAUGGACUUUUCUUUCUUCUUAGGGGUUUUAGAUAGACUUUCUUUUCCCCUACCCAGAAUAACUCCAUUGUCAAUUAUUUCUUCCGAAAUAGUCAUAGGAAUUGGAAAUCAUUAAUAAUGAAGUAGUGAUUGCCAUUUCUAAAUUUUCAGAUAUUCUACCUUCUGGUAUUAUUUAGUUCCCUGCCACAUUUCCAUGGAAGUGAGAGAUAAUCAAGCCAGUGGCACGCAUAUUGGCUCAGAGAGGGACAGAAAAAAUAAAAUAAAAUAAAAUAAUCAGAAAGCAGGAUUCUCAGAAAUUAAAAAAAUAUGAUUGCAAAGUUUAUAUAAAUAAUGGAAUAAAAAGCUGAGGAAAAUCUUCCAGAACAUAGAGGAAAAAGAGAAAAAAUGUCAAAAUUAUUAAGAAAACAGGCACAAAAGACCAAUCUUGGCACUGACUUUGAGGAACUGGCAUCUGACUUUUGGGAGUACAAAACAGAGAACAAUGAAAACCAAAGGGAAUGUAAUCAAGGAAAUAAUAGAAGAAAAGUCUCAGAACUUUCAAAAUACAAGGGCUGCCAAAUUCCCAGCAAGAAAAAAAAAGAAACAGUUCUUGUGCUAAGACACCCUCACUGUGGAAUUUCAGAACACCAGCAAUCAGAAGAUUCUAAGAGGUUCUAAAGAGAAAAAAGUAAGUCCUCUGCAAAGGAAAGAGAAUCGGAGUGAUAUCAGAUUUCUAAUUCACAAUGCACAGGUGCCAAAAUGCAGUACAAUGAAGUCUUUAAAAAAAAGUUUUUAAAGCAAAUUAUUUUAAACUAGAAUUCUAUAUCAAACUAAACAACAAUUUAAGUGUGAGUGCACAAUAAAGACAGUUUCAGAUAGUCAAGAAUGAAGUUUGCCCCUAUAUACCCUUUCUAAGGAAGUUACUCGAAUGGAUCAACCCCAGAAAAACUAAGGCAAAAUCCCAGACAAUGGAAGAUUUAAAAAUAAAAAUAAAAGAAAUAAUAUAAUUCAUCCCGGAAAUUCCUGGUUGCCUGUUGUCAGUUGACCUAGCAAGCAAUUAGUCUGAAUUAAAACAGAAUGUCAGUGGAAUCCAAGAAGAAUGAAAUGAAUUCCCAGGGCUACAAAGAAUGAGUCAAAGCUGAAUGUGAUAAUGAAAUAGAUGUCUCUUCUAUCAAUAAAAACAACAACAAAACAAUCAGAAAUUUCAGGAAAAACAAAAAAGUGUACAAAUAAGUCAGUCCAAAUAGAAACUAAACUAAAAUGUGGCAUUUUUCUGAGCAAUGGACGAGUAGGGGAAAGAAGACUAUUUGUUCCUGAUGCUAGAAACAUUUUGCACUGGGGUCAUAACAUUGGAACUAUGGAGAAGAAAUGUAAUCACGGCACAUUGCUUAGCUCUGUAAUUAACAAUAUUUACAAAGUCAUAACGUAACCACUGUUUUCUGGUUUUCAAUUUUUAGAAUCAACCUAUAAACAAAGCAGGGGAAACUUAAUUGUGGUUACAGAGUAUCUAGAAUUUGGGAGGUAGGAGAGUAGAGAGGUAGAGGAAAAACACAUUAUGCUUCUAUCUUCAUCUUACAAAAUGAGGAACCAAAGGUAUCAUUGACUGUUGAUGAAACAACAAUUAGAGGUUUGUCUACAGUUACAACUGUAACUCAGAAACUAAAAUAGCUAGAAUUUUCAAAACUUGCAAGGGAGUGGGGGACAUGAAUUAAAACUUUAUCUACCCUAGAAGGAAUUGGGUAGAUAAUGUCUACAGAGGUUGUUGAUCAAGACAUAGCCAAUAUAAACAUACCAUUUGGAGAUGGAGUAAGAAACCACAAGUGCUAAAAACAGAAACGGUUUAAAGGCUGCCUUCUGUGGGAAGCAAAAUAAGAAUGGGGAGACGAGGAGCAAGGAGACUGUUUCUUUACAUUACGAAACUUCUGGAUGAUUUGACAUUUUAAUCAGGUGCAUGAAGCAUUCUGAUAAAACUUAAAUUUAAGUCUUAGAAACCCAUUUCACAGCCAUGUAAAUAGAAAAGUUGGUCACAAAAUAAAUGACAUAUUCAUAAUAAAGUGAGAGAAAGUAGGGGCUCAGAUAGGUGAGGUGAAUCAUCCCAGCUCACACUGGCCUGAGGCUGGUAAGGGGCAGACUUGGAAUUUGAACCCAGUUCUUCCAAGACUGAGUGCAGUGCCUGAUUCACAGAGCCUUGGAAAGGGUCAAGGAGAUCCAAGUGAGAAAGUGUGUUGUGAGCUGUGGAGCACAGUGCAAAGGUUGUGCACUAUUUCAAUUAUUCCAUCUGCCUGUACUCACCAGUUACCUACAAGUACUUAGUCUCUUCACUCCGGUUUGAGAUUUUGAUGGGAUCUGUUGUCAGUUGACCUAGCAAGCAGUCAGUCUGAAUUAAAACAGAAUAUCAAUGGAAUCCAAGAAGAAUGGAAUGAAUUCCCAGAAGUAUGAAAAAUGAGUAAAAGCUGAAUGUAAUAAUGAAGGUAUUUGUCUCUUCCAUCAACAAAAACAACAAUGAAGCAAUCAGAAACUCCAGGAAAAACAAAAAUAUAUAUAUACAAAUAAGUCAUACCCUAAAUAGAAACUAAACUAAAAUGUGGCAUUUUUCUGAGCAAACAUAAAUAGCCCACGUGACUGGCAAAUGUGCCCUUUACAUGUUUGAAAUGUCCUAGGGGAUGGUCUGUAAAAAAUGCAUUGUAGCCGGGCACGGUGGCUCACGCCUGUAAUCCCAACACUGGGAGGCCGAGGCAGGUGGGUCACGAGGUUAGGAGAUCGAGACCAUCCUGGCUAACAUGGUGAAGCCCCAUCUCUACUAAAAAUAAAAAAAAUGAGCUGGGCGUUGUGGCAGGCACCUGUAGUCCCAGCUACUCAGGAGUCUGAGGCAGGAGAAUAGCCUGAACCCCGGAGGUGGAGCUUGCAGUGAGCUGAGAUCGCACCACUGCACGCCAGCCUGGGCGACAAAGCGAGAUUCCAUCUCAAAAACAGAAAAAAAAAUUCAUUGUAAAUGCAACAGCAUUUAUAAUUAGUAUGAGGCAUCUCCUGUGAAAAGGAAAGAAGUCAAACCUUCUGCAAAGUGAACAGUCUUUUUGCAAUAGAAGCACUCAGCUCCAGUGUAUCCAGGUGCACACGUGCUUCCACCAUGUUUUCUGAAGCAUCUCGUUCACCCUCCGAUGGGCAAAUGAAAUGGACCAGUGCUGUCUCAAAGCCUCCCUCCUGCCUUCUCCUUGACUUGUCUGGCUUACCCUCCUUUGCUUCGCUACCUUAAGACUUCAGCUGCUGGUAUUUUGGGGGCUGAUUUCUGUCCACUUGCCUAGGUUAGUGAUCUAGUCCCAGUACCUUUCCAGAACCAUUCACUCCUCAACAGUGAUGUGUGCCCACUGAGCUAACCACUGCAGCUCUAUGACAAAGACACCAUCUCUCUGCCCUCCAGGGAUUUAGAGUGGAAGGGAGGUAUUGCCAACAGUGCAAGGACCUUCCUUUUCUACACAUCUGCUCCAGGUAGGGGACUGAACUGCCCCAACUUCAGUCCUGGGCCUCACAGACUCAACCUCCUUUUUCCCUCCUCCUCCUGGAAGGAACUGGCAGAGGAAAGCCGACUUUGAGUUUCUCAUCUGCCCUUAGGUGUUUUGCCUAUUAAAGGUGAUAGUUCUCAUCGUGGACCCAGCUUCUUAUCGGAAUUCAUGGAUCCCUGGUUAUGCACGAAGGAUUAGAAUAUUGCAAACUUCUACUUCCAAGGAGGGGCUUGACAGAAAGCCUCAAAUACUAUAAUCUGGAAACAUAAAUCAAAUACGUACAGCCAUUUACGUAGCUAGGAGGCCAUUAGGGAAGAAACACAUAUUUUCCUCUGGGAUGUAACAUGCAAUCACCUAGGUGAGUACUGAGAGAUAAAAUACAGACUGACAAUGUUUAAGUUCAGAGGUACAGGGUACAGAGGCAAAGAGGUCCUUGCUGCCUCCUCUUCCUAACUAUUGACAGAGCUUGAUGUAGUUUUGAAUGUUGGGCUUGAUUUAGAUCAAAUCAGCCUGGAGGUAAGCAAACUUUGCCCACUGGUGGGGAGUUAGACUGAACUGGUCAGACCACUUAUCUGCAGUCAUAAGUGGUUGGGUAUGUUGGCGACUGUGGUGGAAAAGGCUGUCCCAGCCUUCACUUGGUGUUGAUGUGAGUCCUGAGCAGGGAAUCAGUUUUCUUUAAGAUCUCCCUUGAGAAGCCCUGCAAGUUGCCACGAGAGCCAGUGGAAAAUGAGGAAUAUUCUGGUUAAGGGUCACCAGUCCUGCAGGAGGCUAUAGAGUUUGCAGGAUACUGGGUGCCCAUGUGUGCAAAGCAUCUACAAUUCUAGACUGAAUAAUGAACUCAUGCAUAUACAAACUAUCAUUUUCCACAUGUAUAUAUAGAUGCUGUUAUGAUUACUAAUACACAAAUAAUGUUAAAGCAUUACUCAAUUGACAGUAACACUUUAUGUGGUUUCUAAAAGAACAUUAAAAAUACAGCCAUAUGUAUGCCUGCAGUCCCACCUACUUGGGAGGCUGAGGCAGAAGAAUCACUUCAGCCCAGGAUUUCAAGGCUGCAAUGAGUUACAUUCAUGCCACUGCACUCCAGCCUGGGUGACAGAGUGAGACCCUAUCAUUUAAAAAAGAAAAAGAAAGAAAGAAAAUCAAACAAACAAACAUAAAAGAGCCCUAAGUCUUUUCUUUGCUCCCUCAGCUCCUAAUCAGGCUUCCAUAGAUCCCUGCUUCCCUUCAGAGUACUUAACACAAUUUAUGAUUGUAUUUCUAUGUGCAUGACUGUUUGUUUCAUGUUUGUCUCUCCCACUAGACUAUAACCUUCAUGAGGGCAAGAACUGCUUCUGUUUUUCUCAUAAAUUAUAUACCCAACCUUUAGACACAUGACUCAUACAUAGUCAGUGCUCAGUAAAUAUUUGUUAAGCAAAUGAAUGAGGUGGUGAGAUUGAGGGAGGGUGUCCAAGAAGUUUUUUGAUAGUUAAAAAGUUUGAGGCAAUACUAUUUUAUAAAUAUAACUGAGAUCCAGAAAAGCCAAGAGACUAACCAAAGAGACAUGUUGGUUCAUUACAAAUAUGGGAGCAAUCCCAGCUCAGUGUUCUUUUCAACAUUAUUGUCAAUGUCUAAUAACAUUUUUUUUGAGCCUAUACAUAUGUAACGUGGUGCUAGGGUAAGAUGGUGAAACCCUGUCUCUACUAAAAAUACAAAAAAAAUUAGCUGGGCGUGGUGAUGCGCGCCUGUAGUCCCAGCUACUCUGGAGGCUGAGGCAGGAGAAUCACUUGAAGCCGGGAGGUGGAGGUUGCAGGGAGCCAAGAUUGCGCCACUGCACUCCAGCCUGGGUGAUAGAGUGAGACUCUAUCUCAAAAAAAAAAAAAAAAAAAAAACAGUGAGUGUCUGGUGGCUAUAUUAUGCAGCAUCUUGUAUAUUGAUUGACACUUUCUUUGAAUGAUUUACUAUAAACUAUAUACUUAGCUCUCUGGGGUGUAUAAUGGUGUCAAUUGCAAACAACAGGUUACUAAAAAGAGGAAAAUCUAUUUUCUGCAGCCCUCUCCCCACUCCAUAUGCCUCUAGUCCCUUCCUGAACCUUAAGUUAGACAGUGCUAUGUAUGAAAUGCCAGUCACUGGGGAGAACAGUUCUAGGUGCUGUGGGGGAAAUACACAGGACUUAACAGGCACAGUAUCCACUUUAGAGGCAAAACCAAGGAAGUCUACAUUUAUUUUCCUCUGUAGCUAGAAUUCUUUCUCUCCAAUGAUCUGUUUUAGGCAUUUGGCAGCUGCAGAGUUGACCUGCAAAUAAAUUCAACUACAUUCACAGUUCCUAAAAAUGACUGUGACCAGUUUACUCACAUAGGUGAGAAGAAAAUAUUUUCAGAGAGAGCAAAGGUAUGUAGCAAAAAGCUGCAUAAAAUAAGGAGAAAAGGCUUGAGAUUGUAUAUAUCCAACCCCAAUUCUUGGCUAUUACGAAGCUACAGUCACUGGGUUAGGAAGGAAAAUCUCAACACGCAGCCUCCAUGGGACCCUGCCAGCAGCCUGUGGGGCACGGCCCUGCCCUUCUCCAGUGAUUGCCCAUUGCCAUUGCUUGACAAGGAAUAUUUAAAAACUCUAAUGCUACUCUCAAUCAACUGGGACUUUCGGUGCUGGAGGUCCCAGCUGGAAAAUAGGGUGACCAUAUUUCAACCAGAAAAAAACAUGUUUUAAAUAAAAUUUCCUCUCCCUUUGUUUGUUAACAGCAGCAGGACCCCUAAAAGGGCUUUUCUCAGGUCACUUAGUUUAGCAUACUUGGAGAAAGCCUCGGGAAAGGGAGUGGUAUCAGUAAUUGGGCUGUUUGUGAGGGUGAAGGUCUUGCUUACCUGGCUAUGGGCUGCAAUAAUUCAUCUUUCUGAAAGGGCAUUCAGCCUUAUCUCCCUCUGCUCUGUGCCAGAAGCUGUACUGGUCAUUUUACCUGUGACAACCCAUUUAUUCUACCCAGCCAUCCAGUGAGAGGCUUACCAUUCUUUUCGUCUUGCAGAUUUAAGAAUAAACAGGUUCAAAAAUGCUAAAGUUCCUCACCCAAGGUCACACAGCUAGUACAGAGUGGAGGCAAGACUUGAAGCCAUAAUCUUAUCCAGUAUUACAAAGCUAAGGUCUACUCACAGGCAAGAAUUGUGUGUACAUCUAGAGAGAAGCCCUUCUAUCCACCAUGACAAGGUAGCACUGUAACAGAUGUUGGGGGGCACAUGAGCUUCUCACUGAGGAGCCCAGGGGGUUCUCUUCCAGGCAGAGCCCUGCCUUGGUUCUUCUGCAGGAGAAAGCAGAUCCGUGACAGACACACAAGGUCCACUCUUCAGACCUUUCUGUGGAGCUGCAAUAUGUUCUGUUGCAUGUUUCCCGAAUUAUUUGUAACAGGCAGCUGCAGUAGGUCAGAAUCUCAGAGGUGUUUCUGAGAUUCCAGACAGGGUGGGGGCUGCCACCCUGCUCUCUGGAUGGGAAUAAUACAAUUUACAAAUGUGGAGCAUCUGGGGAAUUUAGGAGCUAAAAAGAGGAGCUUCUGGAGGGAAGUGGCUAAGAUUCUUGGGCCUUCAUGGUGUCAGGGAACAGUUUCAAGGAUGUUUUACUUUUGCCAUUGAGCUAAUAAUAAAGCAGCCAUCUAUUGACAGUUAUUGUAGGCUCCAGGUACUGUGCGAAGGACCCUUGACGGGUAUUAAACUCAUACAUUCCAUCAGUUCCAGUGGCAUUUAAUCAUGAGCCAUUUAAUCAUGGCUCAACCAUGCUGAGAGCUAGGGAUCAGCAGCCACAUUUUACAGAUGAGGAAAUGGAGGCUCCAGGAUAAUAACUUGCCCAAGUUUUCAUAGCUUUAAGACCAAGUGAGGAUUCAGACCCAGGCUAUUUGAAGCAAACUUCAUGUUUUUAACAACAACAAUAUGCUGCCUCUAAUGAAUUUAUUCAGACGCUAAUAAAUAUAGUAGAGAGGCUUUUCUCCACCCUAUACCCUACCCACCAAAUGUUUGGCCAAUUAAAAUAGUUGAGUUCACUUAUAAGGGGAACGGGAAAACAGCAUUUGGGCUUGUCCCAGUUACAUGAAUUAAUUCUGUCUUGGGGUUCUGAUGGCGGCAUAAACCAAAGAGCCCAGAAUCCCAUGAUGAAAUUAUAUCGUUAAAGCCCUUGGCAGCUUAGCUAUUAUUUUAUGUAAAAUAUAUGCAUAGCUUCUGAGAAUCCCUUUCCACCAGCAAACAGAAUGAAAAAAAUAUAUAUAUAUAUACAUUACUAAUGACAGGAUUCUCGGCUAUCAUGCCGUUAUUUACGUGACAUUAUUGAUGGGAAUGUUGCUUGUUUGGAAUCUGGAAGGUAAACAGAGUUUCAAAUUUCAAUCCUCUAUUGUGGAAAAUAAUAACCUUGGUGCAUGGCCAUGCAAAUUAAGGAACUCUGAAACCUCAAGCCUCCAAUCACAGCACUCCAGACACCAACAUUCCAAACACGUCUGUCUCUCCAAAGAGAGCCAGGUUCAUGCCACAGAAUCUUUCCAGAGCCAGCAUCAAAGGCUGUGUGAGGCUCAGUAUUUGGGACCUCUCCUUGCAGCCGCAGUCCCAACGUGGGGUGAGGUCAGCGAGGGCAAAUAACUAAAUAGUUUUCUCCAAAACGCCAUAGUUGGAAUUCCCUCUCCUGGCCCGGGCUCCUUGCGUCCCCUCCCCGGCUGCCACACAUUUCCUAGCGUCGCGGAGUCCUCUGGGCCCAGCGCCUGGCCGGCCUCACCCGACCCACCUGCUGCUCACGGCGUUGCCCAGCCCAGGCAUUAAAGAACUUUCCUGCCGCAGAGAACCGAGCCCGAGACACGCCCUGGCUAUCUAUAGAAAAUCCCUUUGGGGGUUCUGCUGACAAGUCACUUGAGAUCCCUCCUUGGGCCUCAUUAUGUCACAGGAACCCUGGCUGGAAUGCGGAGGAUUAAAUUCCUAACCCCUCCCUGUCGGCUGGGCCCGGAGGGAGGGAAGCCGGGAGCUCAGCGCCCACCUGGGCUCUCAGGCGCCCCCUAUUGAACGUUCCUGUCCCUCUGGCCCCGACGGCUGCAGCGGCUCCGCGCGGGAGUCCAAGCCUGCUAAAGCCCCGGGGCUGCAGGCAGCAGGGAGGACCGAGGUCCCAAGGCCCUGUGCAUUCUUACAGCAUCCUGGGGACACGGAAGGGAGAGUGAGAACACAGACUUGAUCCUCAGGCCGGCUCUAAAUCCAGCUCCCCACGUGGAUUUGGGCAAGUCGCUAAUCCCUCUGGGCCGUGGUUUCCUCUCCCUAAGAGCACCUGAUACAUAAAAUCAUGAACUUUACUGCUAGAGGGGGAAGCCAGGGAGCGGAAGCUACGGAGGUUGUUGAGUUCUCAGCAGGUGCUGAUGCAUGGGGGGGUCACAGUCCCAUGCUCCCUGAAUGAGGACAGUAAAGAGCAGAGAAACACUUCAGAUGCGGGCUAAUUCUUUGUAAAAGGCCAGGUUACUUAAACCUAACUACCCUCUGUGUCCUUCAUCCCUAAUAUAGGAGUACUAAUGCUACCUACCACAUAGGUUUGUUGUGACAAAAAUGCAUAAAGGACUUAAUGACACAUGAAAGGGUUAAUGCACAUAGGGGAAUUCAAAUGGUGCCUGUAAGCCACCUAUUAUUUUAUUAUUAUCAUUAUUAUUAUUAUAUUACAAAAGAGUCACCUACUACCGUUCUUAUUAUAAGCCCUAAAGCUUUUGUAAACACAAUGCUUUGAAAAGACCAUUAAUGUUGGUAGCAUUUAUUGCACGUUUAUUACAUGCUAGUCAUUUUGCUGAGCACUUUUAGAAAUCUAUUUUAUUUCUAAAACAGCCCUGUGCAGUAAGCACUAUCACUUCCAUCUUUUAGCAGGUGAAGAACCUGAGCUUUUCGUGAGCUGCCCCUGGUCAAAGAGCUGUAAGUGACUGGGCCAGCCACGGUCAUUCCCCUUCCAUCAUGGGGUGCUGGUUCGGGCUGGAUUCCACUCUUGCUCUUUGAACUUGCACACGUCCUUGACCUGUCUGUGUCUCAUGUGGAGAUAAAGGGCAGGUAUUAUUUUCUUCAUGCUAUUGUCGUGAAGAAAGUGCUGUGUAAACUGUGACGUUCCCCCCAGAAAUGGGAGGACUUUGAUCACUACACAGGAAGACAAGUCAAAGGAGAGAAUAGAAAGUCACAGUCCCGGGGAGCCUGUGUCUUCCUGGAAUUGUCUUGGUCCUCAGAGAAGUAGAAGGAACUAACUACAGGGACAUAGGACACAUUUGAUCUGAGCCAAGAGCCCAGGGAGGCUCUUGUAGACCUGGGGAGGCCACUUGUGCUCUGAAAACUUGCAGGUUCAGAACCCGUCAGAUCUCCUUGAGUCUUUCAAUGACACACACAUAGACACACACAGACACACACACACACACACUGAUGCUGUCAGUAAUAAUGCAUCACUGGACUUCCACCUUAGCAGAGUAAGUGAAACAUGUAAACAAAUAAUAAAUUAUGUCUGAGCCAAUGGGGCGUAGAAGCAGUAACUAUAAAAUACUGCCCAGGGGGGAGAAAGUGUACUGAGACUGUGAUAGAACACCCCAAAGUCAUUGCCAACAGCAUUAUUUCAUGACCUGAGUAAGCUGGCAGAGUUGUUACUUCUUGAAAGGAGACUUUGUCUUUUUCCUUUUUCUUAGACAUCUGAUUUUUAUUCUCCUUUAAACAAUGCAAAUCUUUCCUUCUGAAGGGAUCUUGGAAAGCAGAUUCCUUCCAUUGCUUUAAAGGGAAUUCAAGUUGGACAGAGUGAAGGCAUUCUGGUGGCAGGGCUGUAAGCAGUGCUGAUUUGUCAAGGCAGGCUGUCACACAUCAUUUCUCUGCAGGCUUGGAGAUGCAGCGCAGACCUUGGUUCCUGGAUGGAAGAGACACUUCUCAUGGUCAAGCCUCCCCGGGCCCCAGGUUGAGAGGUGAUGCUGCAUAGGGGACGAGAGCAAAGGUCCCCAAAGUGGGGUAUCCUCAAGGGCACCACCUCCGAACAACCCACGGGAAGAAAGAAGAGGAAAGAAGGAAUUGGAAGGGGAGGGGAGGGGAAGGAAAGGGUGAGGAAGAAAGGAAGAAAGGAAAGGAAGAAGGAGGAAGGGAAGGAGGAAGAAAGGAAAGAUUAAAACUCUUUAUAUUUACUGUAAUAUCAUCAUUACAAAACCAUUUUUUUGUUAAAAGUUUAAAUAUAUAUAAAAGUAGAAUCAUAUAAUGAACCUCCCAUAUACCCAUGUUCCCACCAUUCAACUUCAAAAAUUACCAACUCCAAGGCCAGUCUUAUUUCCCCUAUUUACCCACCUACUUGUCCCCCCUGCUCCUUUAUUUUGUUAUCUAAGACAGCAAACACUAACUCAUUACAUCUGUAAAUAUUUCAAUAUAUGGGCCUAAAAAACAUGCCCUCUCUUUCUAAAACUUGAACCACAACAUCAUUAUAGUCCAAAAACAUCAAUAAUUAGCCCACAAUAUAACUGAAUAUCCAAUCAGUGCUCAUAUUUCCUUGAUUUUCCUAAAAUUUUUUUUUACAGUUUGAGUUGGGAUCCAAACAAAGUCCACACAUUGUGAUACAUAAAUAUGUCCCUCAGGUCUCUUUUAAUCUAUUGCUCCCUCUCUCAAUCUCUCAUUCUCUAUUUUUGCAAAUUUUUUUUUUUGGUUGAAAAACUUGGGUUGCUUUUCUUGGUUAAUCUACAGGCUAGAUUCUGCUGAUUAUGUUCCCAUGGUAUCAUUUAUCAUGUGCCUCCAUCCCCUGUACUUUCUGUAAAUGGGAAAUCAAGAGGCUCCAUCAGGUUCAUAUUAAAUCUUUCUGACAAGAACAUUUUGCAAUUGGUGUUAUGGACAUCUGUUGGGAGAACAUAAUGUCUGCUUGUCUCUUUUUUUGUGAUAGCAAUCAUUAUCAAAUACCUUGUUCACUAGCACUUACAAAGUGUGGUGUCCUAUGGUAUCCUCAUUCUAUCUAUGUGUCUUCACUUAUUAGUUGGAAUACUUCUUUAAGAGAAUCUUCUCAUCGUCUAUUUGCUAAUCCAGGGACACAAUUCUUACAGGAAGGGCAGAACAAAUGCUUCUUUUUCUUUACCAGUUUUCAAAGUAAUUAGUUGGUCAUCUAGUAUUCUCUAAAAGUGAUCACCAAGGUAUCUUUUUAGUAUCAUAAUAAGCAUAUAAAUUUGAAAAAAAUACACACACACACACACACCCCUAAAAUGUGGUUUAAUCAAUCGCAGUUUGCUCAAAAUGUCCCAUGUUUAGCCAAUGGAAACCUCUUCAGGUUGGUUCCCACAUCCUUUUGACAGGACCCAAUAAUAAUUGAUAGAUUCCUGGCUUUCUGUAUGACAAAAUGUUCCAGGUGCACUUCCCAGACUAAAAAUUAGACACUUCUCCCAAGACCUAGUUUCUUUUAGUGAGAGACCACAAUCUAUAUUUAGGGUAUUAUCCUUUAAUUUCUAUUUUUUGUAGUUUAUGUUUUAUAAUGCAUGUAAUAUAUUAAUAAUAUGGUAAAUACAUAUAAGUUAGAAAUGGCAAACAAAGACAUAUAUUUUCUGAAAGGGAUGCCCGAUACAGAAAGUUUAGAGGCUACUUAUUUAGUGCAUAGGGCUUGGAAGCGUGCUAGAAUUAUGAUCCUGGGCCCUCUUUCUUUCAAGCUGUUUGGUCUUGGUCAGGUUCUUUUUUUUCUCUCUGACCUUCAGUUUCUUCAAGUAUACAAUUAACGUAGUAAUAGCUACUUCAUGGAAUGUUGUGAUGACCAGAUAAGAUAGAUGGAUGAUUGAUAGAUAAUUGUAACUAGAUAAAUAGAUGACAGAUAGAUAUAUACAUAGAUACAUAGAUAUAUACACAGACAGAUGGACACAUAGAUACAUACACAUCCCGGCCUCACUCAGUAAAUGGGAGCGACUCGUAAUAUAUCAACAAUGUUGACAGAGCCCUUCUCAUACAGAAAGUUCUGUGCCUGCCCUCGAGGAGCUUGCAAACCAGAGGAAUAGAGAAGCAUCAUGCACAGAAAACACAGGUAGCCUCUGUCUUUCCAAGGUCCUAAUGAGCAAUAUGCCAGGCCAGUCUUUUGAAAUUCAGAGGAGAGUGCUCUCUGGAACCUCGAGAGUUCUGGAAGUCUUUGUGAGGAUGAUGGGACUUUAGCUUGCCCUGAAGUCUGGCCUGGGGAGGUAGGAGUGGGAUAGGGCAUGCAGGGAGGGGAUUUUAGGGUGGGGGAGACGGCCAGAUCCUGGAAAAAGAGGAGGCAACAAAGCAGCAGUAAAAAGAGAAGCUACUGCCGAAAACAGUUCCAGGAAAGGAAAGAAGGAUUGCUCCGCAGUGUCCAGCCCUCCACAGAGGCAAACAGAGGAAGACAGAGAACAGGCCCCUGAUGAUUUUAAGAGGACCAAUUUUGUCUCAGUAGUAAAGGAAAAUAAUCACAGCAGCGAAGCGACAUUAGAAAUGUGAAAUGGAUAAAUAAAGCUUUGGAUGAGCGCACCGGCUGCUGAACCCAUUUGAAAAAUGGAGAUCUGAGAAGCACACAGACUGAACUGUGAGAGGCCCUUGGAAGGAAGGUGUAGGAACAAAUGUCAAAUGUUUAUCUGGACUAAAAGAUAAACUGAUGUGCACAAGCCCUCAGGCCCUUGCAGGUUUCCUUCUUCAUGGGCAAGGCUGUGGUUUCCAUAGGUCAUUUCCCUGCAGUGGUUAUAGCUGCUUUUAGCAUCAGCCAAGAAUCACCGUCUGUUGGAGGUGGAAGGGGGCCUUUGGGGUCACACUGUAUAGUCUGACCAUCUCACUUUGCAAAUGAGGAUCUCAAAAGAUAAAGUGACAUGAGAGAUGAAAUGACAUGGCCUGGUAUUCCACGUGCAUUUUCUUGGAGGAUGUUUAUAAAAAUCAAACCAGUCAUCAGAUUGGAAUGUAGGCUACGUAGCAGCAGCCACUAACAUCAGCAAACUCGACGACGUUCCAGAUACUCGUGAGCUUUCUACGUACAUGAUCUCAUGUAGUCUUCACAAUGACCUGACGAGAUUGGAACUAAUAUAGCCUGUAUUUUCCUAGAUGAGGACAUCUAGGCCUGGAGAGAUUCAGUGGCCUAACCGAGGUCACACUGCUAGGAAAUGAGAGAGCCACGUCUCAACCCAGCCCUAGUACCACAUCCCAUGGAAACCCUGCUCUGCUGCCUUCUAACAAGACAAGAGUAGGAAAAUGGUCAAAGGAACCAGAUGUCCCUCAUGGGAAUAUUAUUCUACAAUUCAAAAUCAUUAUAAAAUCCAUGUACGAAUAUGGUAAAUGUUUAUUACUUAGUGUUUAGUGAAAAUGCAAUAGUCGAUGCAAAAAUAUUCAGAAGAAAAAUGAAAGAACACUUAAACACCAACAGUUGCUGACUAGUGUGGAAAGCUCUUUUUUCUUCUGAUUUUUCCCUUUUUGAAUUUUCUAUAAUGUGGUAUAGGUCUUUUGUAAUGAACAAAUAAAUGUAAUCAUUUUUCUUUAAACAACUAUCACUGUGCUCACAGAAUCGAUAAGAAAAAGACUAAAAUGAAUGGUAAUAUAUUUUCCUUUCCUUGGCAAUAAAAACUAAUAAGUAAUUGAUUUGCA